rnacentral:rRNA from 1 species
UCAAGAAGUUGCCAUCCUGAACAAGCCUGAUGUCUGAUCUUGGAAGCUAAACAGGGUCAGGCCUGGUUAAUACUUGGAUGGGAGACCACCUAGGAAGAUCAGGCACUGUAGGCA